AAGGGAGGUAUGAUAUACAGCACCUGGUGGGUCAUUAUUUCAACAUCCAGUCGACAACAGCGGCACCGUGAUCAUAAUCCAGUCAACUGGCAGCCAGGUGUCUCUUGCACGCUGCACAAUCUUCAAUCUCCUCUCAAGCCGUGAUGAAAGGCAGGCCGGGCGCGGGCUUCCGACCCCCGGGGAAACGUUUUUUUCCUUCUUCGGCGUCGAGGAGAAAGGAGAGC
rnacentral:misc_RNA from 1 species